rnacentral:rRNA from 1 species
AUGGCAAGCAUAGCGCUCGUUCUCAUGGUUUGUUUCUUGGGUUUGUUCUUGCCCGCCCCCUCCCUUGCGUCGACCUCCAACUACACCGACUUCGUCCGCUGCAUCUCCACGAGCGUCCCCAGCCAGCUCGUGCAGACGCCGAACUCACCGUCGUUCAAGCAGCUCCUGGUGUCGUCCAUCAGGAACGCCAGGUUCGUGGCGCCGGCCACGGCGAGCCCACCGCUCUGCAUCGUGAUGCCCACCAACGCGUCCCACGUCCAGGCCGCCGUGCGCUGUGGGCGCCGCCACGGCGUGCGCGUCCGCGUCCGCAGCGGCGGGCACGACUACGAGGGCCUCUCCUACCGGUCAGUCUGCCCCAACAGCGAGGCGUUCGCGGUAAUCGACCUCGCCAAGCUCCACGCCGUCCGCGUCGACCCACGCAAGGCCACCGCGUGGGUCGACUCCGGGGCGGCGCUCGGGGAGCUCUACCACCACGUCGCCACGGCGGCUCCAGGGCUGGGCUUCCCGGCUGGCGUGUGCUCGACCGUGGGCGUGGGGGGCAUCUUGAGCGGCGGCGGCAUAGGCCUAAUGAUGCGCAAGUACGGCCUCUCCGCCGACAACGUUCUCGACGCCACCAUGGUCGACGCCUACGGGAAUCUGUUGGCGGACAAGAAGGCCAUGGGGGACGACCUCUUCUGGGCCAUCCGCGGCGGGGGCGGCGGCAAUUUCGGCAUCGUGCUGUCGUGGAAGGUGAGGCUCGUGCCAGUCCCACCGACGGUGACCUUCUUCAAACUCGCCAAGACCAUGGACCAGGGCGCCGUCAACGCGGUGACCAAAUGGCAAACGCUCGCGCCCGUGCUCCCGGACGACCUCACCGUACGUGUUAUCGUAGAAAAUCGUCAGGCCACCUUCGAAGCCCUGUACCUCGGCAAGUGCAACGCGGUGGUGCCGACGUUGCGCAGCCGAUUCCCGGAGCUCGGCGUGACGCACGCCGACUGCAAGGAGAUGAGCUGGCUGCAGUUCACGGCGUACAUAUACUUCGGCGACGCCACCAUCAACCGGUCCAUGGCCCUGGGUCCCUUCAUUAAGAACAAGUCCGACUACGUCGAGAAAGCCCUCACCAACGAGACGUGGGAGAAGAUCUUCCUCUGGCCCAACGACGCGGCGUCGGGGCAGCUCGUCCUGGAGCCGCACGGUGGAAGAAUGGGCCACAUCACCGCCAACGACACCCCGUUCCCGCACCGGAGCAGCGUGCUCUACAACAUCCAGUACGUGCAGCACUGGAACGGCAAAGGGGCGGGGGGCGACGCUACGCCUAAGCCGAACUGGAUCGGGAGCCUGUACGACUUCAUGGCGCCGUUCGUGAGCAAGAAUCCGAGGGCCGCGUACGUUAACUACCGGGACCUCGACAUUGGCAUGAACACGGUGGUCGGCGGAGUAACGAGCUACCAAAGUGGCAAGGUGUGGGGCGAGAGGUAUUUCGGUCCGGCAAACUUUAGGAGACUCGCAGAGGUCAAGCGCAGGGUGGACGCCGGCGACUACUUCCGGCACGAGCAGAGCGUGCCGCCACUUCCCUUGAACUAG